CUUUACUUAGUAUAACUAGUACACUUGACUUCCAAUCAAAAAGAAUAAUCUUAUAGUAAAGA
rnacentral:tRNA from 1 species